UGGGGAAUAUUGCACAAUGGGCGAAAGCCUGAUGCAGCAACGCCGCGUGAGUGAUGAAGGCCUUCGGGUUGUAAAGCUCUGUCUUUUGGGACGAUAAUGACGGUACCAAAGGAGGAAGCCACGGCUAACUACGUGCCAGCAGCCGCGGUAAUACGUAGGUGGCGAGCGUUGUCCGGAUUUACUGGGCGUAAAGGAUGCGUAGGCGGAUAUUUAAGUGAGAUGUGAAAUACCCGAGCUUAACUUGGGUGCUGCAUUUCAAACUGGAUAUCUAGAGUGCGGGAGAGGAGAAUGGAAUUCCUAGUGUAGCGGUGAAAUGCGUAGAGAUUAGGAAGAACACCAGUGGCGAAAGCGGCCUCCUGGACCAUUCCUGACACUCAGACGCGAAAGCUAGGGUAGCAAACGG
rnacentral:rRNA from 1 species